GCACAACGCGAAGAACCUUACCUACUCUUGACAUCUAGCGAAGAUUGCAGAGAUGCAGUUGUGCCUUCGGGAACGCUAAGACAGGUGCUGCAUGGCUGUCGUCAGCUCGUGUUGUGAAAUGUUGGGUUAAGUCCCGCAACGAGCGCAACCCUUAUCCUUUGUUGCCAGCGGUCCGGCCGGGAACUCAAAGGAGACUGCCAGUGAUAAACUGGAGGAAGGUGGGGAUGACGUCGAGUCAUCAUGGCCCUUACGACCAGGGCUACACACGUGCUACAAUGGCGCAUACAAAGAGAAGCGACCCCGCGAGGGCAAGCGGACCUCAUAAAGUGCGUCGUAGUCCGGAUUGGAGUCUGCAACUCGACUCCAUGAAGUCGGAAUCGCUAGUAAUCAUGGAUCAGAAUGCCACGGUGAAUACGUUCCCGGGUCUUGUACACACCG
rnacentral:rRNA from 1 species